UUUUUAAGAUCAGUUUGUCACAAGCUAUUAAAAACAAAUGGCUGGAGAUCGGGAAACAAUUGGUCUCGAGAAAGGUGACGGAGAAGGUCGUUAAGAACAUCUCGUA